ensembl:lincRNA
UACUUUCCUGGGUUUGUGCCAAUUCUUCAUUCCACAUAAGGGAGAAGUAUAGGACGGCAUGCGUCAUUUCUGAAAGGUCUUUUUGGUCUGUUCCAAACAUAUCUUAACCAAGUAAGAAACAAGGAAUCAAUCAGUAUAUGCCUGCAGCUUUCUCUGGAGGUCUUCUAAGGCUAAUAUGUUUGUACUUCAUCUUAACAUAAAGAAGGAGGGGGCAGAGACGGGGCAAGAAGAGGCGGGGCUUCCUCUAAAAAGAUUAAAUUAGACAGGGUGUAUAGACAUAAAAACAACCUUAAGUUGUCGUCCAGAUUCACCUAACUCUUAACAGGAGAUUGAAUGAAUGGACAUCGGGCAAAACAGUAGUAAACUUCAAAGCCACGGAAAGCUUUCUAAUGCCUAAGGGAAAAAUAAACAUUUGCUUCCAACCAUUUUCUCAUUUUCAUUCUCACAUACUCUGCUAGAUGGUGAGGGCUUAGUCAACACACACACACACACACACACACACACACACACACACACACACACACACACACUUUAUCUCGGCGCCAUAAGUGUCAACUAAACACACUGCUUGCUUCAGGUCACAGCUGGCCCCUGUGCAUUUCCACUACAGCACCUCUGGCCAUGUUCCUGAACCCCAGUUCUCCACUUUCAGCUGGCACUGCCUGCCACAGAGCUUGGGUAGCCCUCUAGACUCUGACCACCUCUAUGUGGCAAUGACUACUACGUGCACUGACAGAUUUUCCGUUGAUGACAGCUGUGAUGGUGGCCAGGCGUGUUUCCGGGCGCGCUUACAACCUAGUCUCUCUCUCUCUCCAUCACGUAGCAGCUUCCUCUGCUUGACCCCAGAGCUGACUGUAGACCCACUCUUAACCUUCUCCUCUCCACUCCAUCCCACCCCGUCAUGCCCUCCCAGUCUCUCCAGUCUCAGGAUGGUGCACAACCUUCCGGAGCUAUCCCCAGCUCCUGGGCGCCCCACUCAGUUAACUUUCCGCAUAUCAGGACCUAAUCGCUCCCGAUUAUCUGAGUCGCCUAAGUCCGGCUUCUGCCUUCAAUCACCCAGGUACCUGGGACUGACCCUGACCGGUAGUCCCUUGGGUGCUUUGGGGCAAAAGGGCUCUAUGUGAACCAGAGCGAGAGGUGGGACGAGAGAGAUUGAGGGCUCCAGAGGGCCGAUGGCAACACGUGCAAAGAAAUAAAAACCACCACGUGUGUGUAGCUCUGCGUGUGAGGGCAUGGCUAGGGGCACACGGGUUCGGAAGUGGGGGCGCGGGUACUCACACGAACGCGUGGUAGACGAACGCCCAGCCGCGGGGUCUCUCCAGCACGUUGUACAGAUAGUUCUGCACCCGCCGGUACUUGACGUUGCGCCGACAGCUCUGGCUGCUGGUGUAGGAGAGCGGCUUCCCCAGCAGGCUCAUUCGGGCCCCCUGCUUGCCCCGGCGGCUAGGAGUGCUGGCACACAGGACUGAGGGUGUGCGGGAUGCCCGGAGGCACGCUAGCACGCGUGCACACCCAGCAGGGUUCGAGUCUGUCUGUCACCUGCACCCCGGCAGAAUACCGGCUUGACCCUAAGUCGGUCUCCCAGCAUGAGUUUGGUUCGGUUCUUCCUGGGACUCGGAGCUGUCCGGAGGGCGAAGUCCGCUCGAUGCCUCUUGAGUAAACUGGACGAGCGGGUCUCUGGGCUUCUCCCUCUGCUAUGCCGCGUCUGGUCCUGCCAUCCUCGGGUGAUGGGUGUGGGCAGGAAAGGUUCUGUCCUACUCUCCAGGUUUUGGCUAGCCUAGGAGCGAGCCAGCGGGGGCUAAGCUUCUGGCAGUGGCGCUUGGGUUCCCGCGCUGGGGACCAGCCCACCGCAGUUCAAUGGACACACCUGGAGAGCGCCAGGCAGGGACCCAGAAGCUUCCCGAGACUCAAUCCAGCCUGCAGGCUGUGACUUUCCAUCCUAGCCUCAGACAACAAGCCUGCGAGUCACAGAACAUCCUUCCCAUCCCCAGGGGUGGGGUGUGGGGAGGGCGUAAAACUCCAAAGUAGCUCCUUUGUGGUGAGGGAGCUCCUCCUGACAGAGAAGCCUGGGAAAAAGAGCCCACUUCCCUCCUUCCAGAAAUUUCCAUGU